UACGGGGGGAGCAAGCGUUGUUCGGAUUUACUGGGCGUAAAGGGCGCGUAGGCGGCCAGCACAAGUCAGUUGUGAAAUCUCCGAGCUUAACUCGGAAAGGUCAACUGAUACUGUGCGGCUAGAGUGCGGAAGGGGCAACUGGAAUUCUUGGUGUAGCGGUGAAAUGCGUAGAUAUCAAGAGGAACACCUGCGGCGAAGGUGGGUUGCUGGGCCGACACUGACGCUGAGGCGCGAAAGCGUGGGGAGCAAACAGG
rnacentral:rRNA from 1 species